GUCAUAACAGCAAGUAAAAAGCUGAACAAACUGAAAAAGAAAAACAAACAAACUUGUCUUAGAUCUGUCAAAGAAAUGAGGUCACAGAGCAAAUCACCAGAUGAGUGGACACAGAGAAUCACAACUUCCGGGAGCAGAAGCCACCCUGCUGUGUGGGCGCGCAGCCGUGCCCGACUCUCUGCGACCCCAUGGACUGUAGCCCGCCAGGCUCCUCUGUUCAUGCGAUUCUCCAGGCAAGAAUACUGGGGUGGGUUGCCAGUUCCUCCUCUCGGGGAUCUUCCCAACCCGGGAAUAGAAACUGCAUCUCUUGCGUCUUCUCCUUUGGCAGGGGCAUUCUUUACCACUGAGCGACCUGGGAAGCCCAAUAAUGGAAAAACCUGAACUGUAACUGAAAAAUUGCUGGAAGGUUGCCACGUACAGUUGAGCCGGUCGUUCACCGUGCAGAGGAGCUUAGUGUGAGGUGAUAAAGAAUCGGCCUGCCAAUGCAGGAGACACAGCCCAGGAGCUGCCACUACUGAAGCCCGUGUGCCUGGAGCCUGCGGUCUGCAACGACAGAAGCCACCGCAAUGAGGAGCCUGUGCAUCGCGAUGAAGAGGAGCCCCUGCUCGCUGCAACUAGAGAAAAAGCC
ensembl:lncRNA